UGGGGAAUCUUGCGCAAUGGGCGAAAGCCUGACGCAGCAACGCCGCGUGUGUGAUGAAGGUCUUCGGAUCGUAAAGCACUGUCGCGAGGGACGAUACGCUACGCGCUAACAUCGCGGAGCUAAGACGGUACCUCGAGAGGAAGCACCGGCUAACUCUGUGCCAGCAGCCGCGGUAAUACAGAGGGUGCUAGCGUUGUUCGGAAUUAUUGGGCGUAAAGCGCUUGUAGGCGGCUUGUUAAGUCGCGUGUGAAAUCCCCAGGCUUAACCUGGGAAGUGCGCGCGAAACUGGCGAGCUUGAGUGCCGGAGAGGGUCGCGGAAUUCCCGGUGUAGAGGUGAAAUUCGUAGAUAUCGGGAGGAACACCAGUGGCGAAGGCGGCGACCUGGACGGACACUGACGCUGAGACGCGAAAGCGUGGGGAGCAAACAGGAUUAGAUACCCCCGUAGUCC
rnacentral:rRNA from 1 species